GGGUACAAAACACCAGCAGGAGUAAGGCAGGGCUUCAACUGGGGUUUUUUUUCCAGUUAACUAAAGUUGAGCAUGAUUUGAAAUCUUUGACAGCCACCAGACCAGGAGGGGACCCGGAGCCACCAACCAGGUGUUCGUGGAUCAGGAGCAGAGCUGCAGGGAACAGCCUGUGCUGGUGCCACCUGCCCAGAAGGUAAUUGAUAAGAAAGCUCUUCCCGUGCCUCCACCUCAGGAGAACAAACCCCAGCGUCAGAGUCCUGCCCUGAGGCCCAAGGGUCCCCCACCUCCCGUUCCUGCCCCCAAACCUGGCUCUUCCCACCCCGAGGAGAAGUUUGUGAGUACAGCCCUGCAGCUUCCCACAUCCCUAUCAGAUCCCAGUGCAUAU
rnacentral:lncRNA from 1 species